CAAAAUGCUUUGAUGAGGAAUAGUACAUGAGGACCGGAGCACAGAGAGCUGUCGGGUGGUGUGAGACAGUAGAAAGAAGUCAUGGAACUCGCCUUGGAGCAUCUGUCCGAACUCCCGAAUAUCUGGAAAGUAGGCGCAGACGGUAUCCACCGUUAUAUGGAGAGGAUAUAAGAAUUAUACAAAAUAUUCCGUAUCCCAUGAGUGUAUGAACCGUUCAUAAAUAAGAGUGGUACCGCGAAGACAGAUGUCUUUCGUCUCUUAC
rnacentral:ncRNA from 1 species